AAAUGCCUCCAUGAGAUCCAGCUAUAAGGCAUUUUCUCAUUUAGUGAUCAAUGGGUGAGGGUCCAGCCAUGGUGGGUGGUGCCUUGCCUGGGCUAGUGGUCCU
rnacentral:miRNA from 1 species